UAGAUACCCUGUAGUCAUGAGUUUGACCCUGCCUCAGCAUUAGAUGGCCCUGCGAGUGACGGGUGAGUAACACGUGGGAAUCUACCCAUCACUACGGAACAACUCCGGGAAACUGGAGCUAAUACCGUAUACGUCCUUCGGGAGAAAGAUUUAUCGGUGAUGGAUGAGCCCGCGUUGGAUUAGCUAGUUGGUGGGGUAAAGGCCUACCAAGGCGACGAUCCAUAGCUGGUCUGAGAGGAUGAUCAGCCACACUGGGACUGAGACACGGCCCAGACUCCUACGGGAGGCAGCAGUGGGGAAUAUUGGACAAUGGGCGCAAGCCUGAUCCAGCCAUGCCGCGUGAGUGAUGAAGGCCCUAGGGUUGUAAAGCUCUUUCACCGGUGAAGAUAAUGACGGUAACCGGAGAAGAAGCCCCGGCUAACUUCGUGCCAGCAGCCGCGGUAAUACGAAGGGGGCUAGCGUUGUUCGGAAUUACUGGGCGUAAAGCGCACGUAGGCGGAUCGUUAAGUGAGGGGUGAAAUCCCAGGGCUCAACCCUGGAACUGCCUCUCAUACUGGCGAUCUCGAGUUCGAGAGAGGUGAGUGGAAUUGCGAGUGUAGAGGUGAAAUUCGUAGAUAUUCGCAGGAACACCAGUGUCAAAGUCGUCCCGGCGCCUCAUUACAUACCCUG
rnacentral:rRNA from 1 species